GAUCCUACGGGAGGCAGCAGUGGGGAAUAUUGGGCAAUGGGCGCAAGCCUGACCCAGCAACGCCGCGUGAAGGAAGAAGGCUUUCGGGUUGUAAACUUCUUUUAUGAGGGACGAAACAAAUGACGGUACCUCAUGAAUAAUCCACGGCUAACUACGUGCCAGCAGCCGCGGUAAUACGUAGGUGGCAAGCGUUAUCCGGAUUUACUGGGGGUAAAGGGCGUGUAGGCGGGACUGCAAGUCAGAUUUGACAAU
rnacentral:rRNA from 1 species